GAUGAACGCUGGCGGCGUGCCUAAUACAUGCAAGUCGAGCGAAUGGAUUAAGAGCUUGCUCUUAUGAAGUUAGCGGCGGACGGGUGAGUAACACGUGGGUAACCUGCCCAUAAGACUGGGAUAACUCCGGGAAACCGGGGCUAAUACCGGAUAACAUUUUGAACCGCAUGGUGCGAAAUUGAAAGGCGGCUUCGGCUGUCACUUAUGGAUCGACCCGCGUCGCAUUAGCUAGUUGGUGAGGUAACGGCUCACCAAGGCAACGAUGCGUAGCCGACCUGAGAGGGUGAUCGGCCACACUGGGACUGAGACACGGCCCAGACUCCUACGGGAGGCAGCAGUAGGGAAUCUUCCGCAAUGGACGAAAGUCUGACGGAGCAACGCCGCGUGAGUGAUGAAGGCUUUCGGGUCGUAAAACUCUGUUGUUAGGGAAGAACAGGUGCUAGUUGAAUAAGCUGGCACCUUGACGGUACCUAACCAGAAAGCCACGGCUAACUACGUGCCAGCAGCCGCCGCAG
rnacentral:rRNA from 1 species